ensembl:misc_RNA Metazoa_SRP Metazoan signal recognition particle RNA
GCUGGGCAUGGUGGAGCAUGCCUGUAGUCCCAGCUAGUCAGGAGGCUGAAGUGGGAGGAUUUCUUGAGCCCAGGAGUUCAAGGCUGCAGUGAGCUAUGAUCACACCACUGCACUCCAGCCUGGACAACAGAGCAAGAUCCUAUCUCUU